GGGCCCGCACAAGCGGUGGAGCAUGUGGUUUAAUUCGAUGCAACGCGAAGAACCUUACCAGCCCUUGACAUCCUCGGAACUUGGUAGAGAUACCUUGGUGCCUUCGGGAAUCGAGUGACAGGUGCUGCAUGGCUGUCGUCAGCUCGUGUCGUGAGAUGUUGGGUUAAGUCCCGCAACGAGCGCAACCCUUGUCCCUAGUUGCCAGCACUUCGGGUGGGAACUCUAGGGAGACUGCCGGUGACAAACCGGAGGAAGGUGGGGAUGACGUCAGGUCAUCAUGGCCCUUACGGCCAGGGCUACACACGUGCUACAAUGGCGCGCACAGAGGGCUGCAAACCCGCGAGGGGGAGCCAAUCUCACAAAACGCGUCGUAGUCCGGAUCGCAGUCUGCAACUCGACUGCGUGAAGUCGGAAUCGCUAGUAA
rnacentral:rRNA from 1 species